UACGUAGGGUGCAAGCGUUGUCCGGAAUUAUUGGGCGUAAAGAGCUCGUAGGCGGUUCGUCGCGUCGGCUGUGAAAUCCCGGAGCUCAACUCCGGGUCUGCAGUCGAUACGGGCGGACUUGAGUUCGGCAGGGGAGACUGGAAUUCCUGGUGUAGCGGUGAAAUGCGCAGAUAUCAGGAGGAACACCGGUGGCGAAGGCGGGUCUCUGGGCCGAUACUGACGCUGAGGAGCGAAAGCGUGGGGAGCGAACAGG
rnacentral:rRNA from 1 species